CAGUAAAAUCAACAACACCAUGCAAAGAGCGAAAGCCAUCGGCAAUGAAAAUAAGUGUCUAUUUGAGCUCUUUGGCACUGGAAUCCCUGCUUUGAAGGCGUAUGAUCAAAAUGGAAACUCAAUUUCAUGCAAGUAAAAGGCUGUGAGUUCACAUUACAUACAAAUGGUGGUAACGGCAGGCUUUAAUAUAACUUGGACUCCACUAGUAACUAAUACAUUCAUAUAUAUGUAUUCCGCCAUGUAUAGUCCGACUGAACCACCACUAUUACAAGCAUAAAUUCUAGCAAUGCACGGGGCAGCACUAGUUAUAAACAAAAGAACCAGAAUACCUCAAAGUGGCCCCGACAGAAUUAUUAUCUCCAGAAUAGUAGGAAACUCGAUUCCACCGGCUAAUAGCCAGCCAGCUAAUGCCAGGAAUUUAGCAGCACCAUAAACCUGAUACCUCAUGAAGAUAUUGAAACCUGUAGACAGGAAGUAGUGAGAAAACCUGUAUAGAGCUUUUCUUUAAAUUAUUUUCUUGAGAUUUAUUUGCAUUACAAAUUACAAAUUAGAGAAAAACAGUGUUUGAAAGAAUUUUACCCAUUUAAAUAAGAACCCUGAAAAAAGACUUGGCACAAUAAAAUAGCUUCUUGAUAUCUUGUCGAUAUUUAAACUAGCAUUAAUGUAGUCUAGGCAAAGGCAAAAUAUAAAAAUGUAAGCUAUUAUUCAACAAUAUUUGAAAAUGCUUUAUAUAAUAUAUGUGUGUUCUUCUCUCACCUCUGUACACUGUAUGCAGCUGUUAUAUUUAAGCAGUAUUGAGGAGAGAAAAAAGCAGAAAAGCACUUCCAAUCAGAUGAAUGUCCUAAACCUGAUGGAUUUCAUUUGACACAAUAUUAUGUCUUCCCAAACUAAUUUAACGGAUCUAAUGAUAAGCAUGUUUUGUUUACAUAUUAUGCCCUUAAUAUUAGUUUUNNN
rnacentral:lncRNA from 1 species